rnacentral:rRNA from 1 species
GACGAACGCUGGCGGCGUGGAUUAGGCAUGCAAGUCGAACGGUAGGAUACCUUCGGGUAUCUGAGAGUGGCGAACGGGUGAGUAACACGUAGGUGAUCUACCCUCAAGAUUGGGACAACCCAGGGAAACUUGGGCUAAUACCGGAUGAAAGCAGCAGUGAUGUUGUUUGAAAGGUGGCGUAAGCUGCCGUUUGGGGAUGAGCCUGCGCUCUAUUAGUUAGUUGGCGGGGUAAAGGCCCACCAAGGCGAUGAUAGAUAGGCGGCCUUAACGGGUGGUCGCCCACACUGGGAUUGAGAUACGGCCCAGACUCCUACGGGAGGCAGCAGUCGAGAAUAGUCUACAAUGGCCGAAAGGCUGAUAGUGCGACGCCGCGUGAACGAAGAAGCCCUUCGGGGUGUAAAGUUCUUUUAUAUGUGAGCAGUGCUUUCUAUGUGAACAGCAUGGGGAGAGAGAUAUUAGCAUAUGAAUAAGCAAACGGCUAAACUCCGUGCCCAGCACGG